rnacentral:lncRNA from 1 species
GUAGGAGUAAGGUUAGAGAUCCAUAUGGAAAGAGUGAAACGCUUUAACAGGGUGGAACUUCCUUUUACAUAGGGUAAGAAAUUUUGAAUGUACCCCCUUUAAUUCUAGGAUUCCUGGUCACACUCAUAGAUCUUGUUUCUUGUUUGUAAGUUUAUUUGAAUCGUGAUGGCGCACUCUUAGAGGGUUGUGAAUUUGUUCUUUUCUCUACAAAAGAUGGAGAAUAUAUUACGCAAACUAUAACUAAAUUACAUGACAGACACAAAAAAACUGCAUUCAGAAUAGCUGCUAUCAAUAUUUUCCAAACACUACGUAUAUAAACAACUAUGCAUUGAGACAAAAUUUUUCUACUAAUCCACACAUGGAUAGAUUAGGACUCGAACAUAUGAACAACCUAUGAAGUAAUCCAAUUUCCAAAACAUCAUUUGUGGUUGACUCAUUCUCAAAUUUACCUAGUCACAAACACAAAGAGAAGUUAUCGAUCAAAAACAAGGAGCCUAUUAAAGAAAACUAUAACCAGUUUAAUUUGAAGACAAAAUGACAAUUUUUAUUCCAUAAAUUCCAAAGAUACUCUAUUGAUACCGGAUUUAUUGCGGUUUGCCAACUGUCAAUCGAUAAAAGCUGCAUUGCUACUUUAAUUUUUCCUCCUUUUAGAUUUUUUUUUUCUUUUUCUAGAAGGACAAGAUUGCAGCUGCCUCCAAGUUCACUUCCUCAGUUCAUUUAAUUCUAGGCUAAAGUUGCAGUCAGCGACUUUUCAACACAACAUUUGUCUACAUUCCUUCAAUUAAAGGUUGUUUACAUUCAUGAUCACUGACUUUUUAUGAAAUUGGAUGGUCAGUUGUAUAGAGCUACAGGUGCUUUAACUAAACAAAAACUCCCUCUCCCGUAGAUUUCCGCAGCACUUAUUAAUCUCACUUGGAUAAACAAAACAACCGAAAAUCAAACAUAAAAGUAAUCGGCAGAAUUAAGAAAAUAAAAAAUAAAAACAAAGCAAACCCUAGAAACUGAAUCAGCAGGAAGCUUACAAAAACAAACUUGAAUCCUUUUUGAAUUAGCAAUAUCAGAAAGAAAAACUUAAAAAGAAAACCCUAAAACUUGAAUCAAGUUGAAUUCGAAGAGAAAGAUAUACCUUUGAAUCGCGAGCAAGAAAAAAAUGGAGAGGCGGUUUGAAGGAGAUAUAAGAUGAAAGUGAAUUUGGUGAUUGCAAGGGGAGUUGAAAUUGGAUUAUUGGAAGGAGUUUCGAGGUGGAAAUCGAAAUCCCGAGGUUCGUACAAAGCCAUGGAGGUGGAAGCGCCCAGUGUUUUGAUCGGAAAUGGAAUUUGCCAUUGUUAAAAGACUAUUGUGCCCAUGUUUUAUAGAGUAAAAAAAUAAAAUAGGGGUAGUAGAGCAAGGGUGUUUAUGGAAGAAGAAAAAAGUGCUGAGCCGGCUUCAAACAACAGCUCAUGGUUUGGCGAGUGAGGAAUAUCAAAUAUGGUUUUGUUUGAAGUGGAUAAACCAGAUAACUACUAACGAGAUAUUCAGUUUUAAGACCCAAGCACUCUUUUUAUACUAUUAUGUAUAUAUAUAUAUAUAUAUAUAUAUAUUAUAUAU